AGUCAACAAAGAUGGUGACGGAAGUAAACAAUCGAAAAAGCGAUGGAAUUGGACCACAACUGGACAAUCAUCAGCUAACAAACGGUCCACUCUCGAGAUGGAGAGAGAGCUAGCCCAAAUGAUUUUUGUCGGCUGAUGGCUAAGCAGAUUCGGAGAUUAACUGACCGAAAGACCAUAUCCGUCGAUAAUUUCAUUAAUUCAUCCUCAAAUCACCGUGCUUGUGACCUUUAUCCAGUGCAGUGGAAUAUUGUCGUGACAGAACAAUGGGGGAUAUCAAUAUCAAUUUGAAUUACAGCAUCUGCAAUGUAUAUUUGUUGUGAAUAAAAAAUAUUGUGACAGAGUUGAUGAUAUUCUCCAUAUUAUAUGAUAAAUAAUU